AACCUAGUUCUACGAGAUUGCAAUGAGGACAAUUUAAACCACUUAGCGAGGAACAAUUGGAGGGCAAGUCUGGUGCCAGCAGCCGCGGUAAUUCCAGCUCCAAUAGCGUAUAUUAAAGUUGUUGCAGUUAAAAAGCUCGUAGUUGAAUUUCUGGCUAAUAAUAUGCUGGCUUACGUUAGUAUAUUGUUAGUCAUCCGUCUUCGAAACCAUUCCGGCCUUUACUGGUCGAUUGGCGGAGAAGGCACUUUACCUUGAAAAAAUAGAGUGUUUCAGGCAGGUUUUCGCCCGAAUACAUUAGCAGGGAAUAAUGGAAUAGGAAUGUGUCCAUUUCGUUGGCUAUUGGACAUAUUAAUGAUUAAUAGGGACAGUUGGGGGCAUUAGUAUUUAAUUGUCAGAGGUGAAAUUCUUGGAUUUAUUAAAGACUAACUUAUGCGAAAGCAUUUGCCAAGGAUGUUUUCAUUAAUCAAGAACGAAAGUUAGGGGAUCAAAGACGAUCAGAUACCGUCGUAGUCUUAACUAUAAACUAUACCGACUCAGAAUCGGAAGGGUCUAAUAAGCCUUUUCGGCGCUGUAAGAGAAAUCAAAGUCUUUGGGUUCUGGGGGGAGUAUGGUCGCAAGGCUGAAACUUAAAGGAAUUGACGGAAGGGCACCACCAGGAGUGGAGCCUGCGGCUUAAUUUGACCCAACACGGGGAAACUCACCAGGUCUAAACAUGGGUGGGAUUGACAGAUUGAGAGCUCUUUCUUGAUUCUAUGGGUAGUGGUGCAUGGCCGCUUCAAGUUGGUGGAGUGAUUUGUCUGGUUAAUUCCGAUAACGAACGAGACCUUAACCUGCUAACUAGUAUAUUUCUUAACAAGGGGUAUUACUUCUUAGAGGGACUAUGUGAUUCAAGCACAUGGAAGUUUGAGGCAAUAGCAGGUCUGUGAUGCCCUUAGAUGUCCUGGGCCGCACGCGCGCUACAAUGACACAUUCAGCGAGUUUUUCCUGGUCCGGAAGGAUUCGGGUAAUCUUGUUAGUAUGUGUCGCGCUAGGGAUCGAUCUUUGGAAUUAUAGAUCUUGAACGAGGAAUUCCUUGUAAGCACAAGUCAUCAGCUUGUGCUGAAUACGUCCCUGCCCUUUGUACACACCGCCCGUCGCUCCUACCGAUUUCGAGUGAUCCGGUGAACUUUCUGGACUGCAAAUACCUCUGGUAGAGCAGGAAGUUAAGUAAACCUUAUCACUUAGAGGAAGGAGAAGUCGUAACAAGGUU
rnacentral:rRNA from 1 species